rnacentral:rRNA from 1 species
GAUGAACGCUGGCGGCGUGCCUAAUACAUGCAAGUCGAACGCAUUGAGAGAAGUGCUUGCACUUUUCAAUUUGAGUGGCGAACGGGUGAGUAACACGUGGGCAACCUACCUGAUAGCGGGGGAUAACGAGUGGAAACAUUCGCUAAUACCGCAUAACAAUAGAGAAGGCAUCUUCUUUAUUUAAAAGGCGCUUUCAAGCGUCACUAUCAGAUGGGCCCGCGGUGCAUUAGUUAGUUGGUGGGGUGAAGGCCUACCAAGACGAUGAUGCAUAGCCGAGUUGAGAGACUGAUCGGCCAAAUUGGGACUGAGACACGGCCCAAACUCCUACGGGAGGCUGCAGUAGGGAAUCUUCCACAAUGGACGAAAGUCUGAUGGAGCAACGCCGCGUGUGUGAUGAAGGCUUUCGGGUCGUAAAGCACUGUUGUAUGGGAAGAAAUGCCAGGCUAGGAAAUGAGCUUAGUUUGACGGUACCAUACCAGAAAGGGACGGCUAAAUACGUGCCAGCCGCCGCGGUAA